rnacentral:rRNA from 1 species
GACGAACGCUGGCGGCGUGCUUAACACAUGCAAGUCGAACGGACAGGCCAUGCUUUUGUGGGGUGCUCGAGUGGCGAACGGGUGAGUAAAACGUGAGUAACCUGCCCUUGACUUUGGGAUAAAUUUUGGAAACUGGGGCUAAUACCGGAUAGGAGCUACUGAAGCACGGUGGGGGUUGGAAAGUUUCGGCGGUUGGGGAUGGACUCGCGGCUUAUCCGCUUGUUGGUGGGGUAGUGGCUUACCAAGGCUUUGACGGGUAGCCGGCCUGAGAGGGUGACCGGCGACAUUGGGACUGAGGUACGGCCCAGACGCCUACGGGAGGCAGCAGUGGAGAAUAUUGCACAAUGGGCGGAAGCCUGAUGCAGCAACGCCGCGUGCGGGAUGACGGCCUUCGGGUUGUAAACCGCUGUCGCCGGUGACGAAGCGUGAGUGACGGUAAUGAGUAAAGAAGCACCGGCUAACUACGUG